CAUGUAGCUGUCCAGUUUUCUCAACAUCACUUACUGAAGAGGCUGUCUUUCCUCCACUCUAUAUUCUUGCCUCCUUUGUCAUAGAUCAGUUGACCAUAGGUGCUUGGGUUUAUUUCUGGGCUUUCUGUCUUGUUCCAGUAAUUUAUGUUUCUGGUUUUGUUCCAGUACCAUACUGUUUUGACUACUGCAGCUGUGUAGUAUAGGCUGAAGUCAGAGAGCCUUAUUCCUCCAGUUCCGUUUUUCUUUUUCAUAUUGCUUUGACCACUUGGGGUCUUUUGUGUUCCCACAUAAAUUUAAAAUUUUUGGUUUGUUUUAGUUAUGUGAGAAAUGCCAUUGGUAAUUUGGUAGGGAUUGAAUUGAAUCUGUAAAUUAACUUGGGUUGUAUAGUCAUUUUAACAGUAUUGAUUUUUCCAAUCCAGGAACACAGUAUGUAUUUCCAUCUGUUUGUGUGAUCUUCUGUUUCUUUCAUCAGCAUCUUAUAAUUUUCAGAGUACAGGCCUUUAGCAUUUUUAGGUAGGUUUAUUCCUAGGUAUUUAUUCUUAUUGAUACAAUAGUAAAUGAAAUUGUUUCCUUAAUUUCUUUUUCUGAUCUUUCAUUGUUAGUAUAUAGGAAUGCAAGAUAUUUCUAUGUAUUAAUUUGGUGUCUUGCAACUUUACUAAAUUUAUUAAUGAGCUCUAGCAGUUUUCAGGUAGUGUCUUUGGGAUUUUCUAGGUAUAGAAUCAUGUCAUAUGCAAACAGUAACAGUUUUGCUUCUUCUUUUCCAAUUUGGAUUCCUUUUAUUUCUUUUUCUUCUCUGAUCGCUGUGGCUUGGACUUCCAAAACAAUGUUGAAUAAAAGCAGUUAGAGUUGGCAUCCUUAUCUUGUUCCUGAUCACAGAAGAAAUGCUUUCAGCUUUUCACCAUUGAGUAUGAUAUUAGCUGUGGCUUUGUCAUAUAUGGCCUUAAUUAUGUUGAGGUACAUUUCCUCUAUGCCCACUUUCUGAGGAUUUUCUUUCAUAAAUGGAUGUUGAAUUUUAUCAGUAGUUUUUUUUUUUUCCCCACAUAUUGAAAUAAACGUGUUUUUUAUUCUCUAAUUUGUUAAUGUGUGUUGCACAGAUUGAUUUGCAAAUAUUAAAAAAAUCCUUGCAUCCCCAGGAUAAAUCCAUUUAACCAUGGCGUAUGAUCCUUCUAAUGUUUUGUUGGAUUCAGUUUGCUAGUAUUUUGUUGAGGAUUUUUGAGUCUAUGUUUAUCAGUGAUAUUGUUCGGUAAAUUAAUUUUUUGUAGUAUCUUUUUCUGGUUUUGGUAUCAGUUUGAUGAUGGCCUCAUAGAAUAAAUUCAGAAGUUUGUCAUCAUCUGCAAAAAUUGACAUCAUUUAUCCAGAUUUUUGUUACCCAUCUUUAUCAAUAAAUAUUUACUAUAUCAUCAAAUCCAGACAUACAUCAUCCUUUUAGGAAAUGUUAAAUAUUUAAUUAUAUGGUUUCCUCCUAUAAUUUCUAAGCUACAUUGUUAGACAUUAGAUUAAUUCUUAAUUUUCACUCUUGUAGAAAAUGUUUUCAAGGCUUUAGCAAUAAAAUUAUAGUUUGAAAAAAUUAUUCUCUGCUUAUCUUUAUUUUUUUCCGUAGCUCUUGGAUGACUAAUCUUAAAAAUGGUCAGACUCAAAGAAUAGCAUAUACUUCUUCUCACUGCCUAUACCUAGACUGUAUAUACAUUUCCAGUCUUCCUUUCUUAGUUAUUUCCACAUUCUUAUCAUACACAAACUGCACUGAUCAACAUCUACUAAAAAAUUAUGUUUUGUUGCUAAGGGCUUUAGAAAAUGCUAAUUAGAAUUAGUUAAGUCAGUACACUAAGUGAGAUUCUAAAAAAAUCUGCAUGGAAAGAUAAUUAAUGAUACAGUAUGUUUAAAUGUAAAUCACUAUAGGUAAAGACUACACAUCUUCCAGUUAAACAUAGUAUACUUUUUGCAUGUAGCAGUUAUUCAUUAAAUGCUAUUGAAUUAGAUAAUAAAUUAAAACAUAAAUUCCCAUACAUAUACUUGAAAUAAGCAAUAUUAAGCAUUACUAGUUUUACACAAAAAGAAAAACCAUAAUUUUUUUAAAUGCCUCAGAUGUCAAACCAAGUAACUCAGAUUCAUGAUGAAAAAAUGGAGAGCAACUAAUAUAUUUUGAGCAGAUGAAAGCAGCCAGAACAUUCAGUCUAAAUCCACCAAAUGAUUGCCUAGACACAUUGUUUAUUAUAACUGUGAAUUGUCUGACCAUACUGGAUCCAUUCAAAAUUUUAAAAUCAAGCAGCAGAAAAAGCCAUAUGGAAAGGCAUGAAGCAGGAACAAUCAACAAGAAAGAUACAGGGAAGAUGUCAGAGUCAAGAUGGUCGUCAAAGAGCCUGGUAGUCCUUUCACGUGGUAAACAAGGAAAGAUCCCAAAGCAUAAGUUAGGCUCUUCCUCUCUCUGAAUCCCAGGGCAUUUAUCAGAGGAUGUACUUGCUCAGCAGUGGUUGGUCCUAAGUAUAAUUUGGUAACUCAGUGAUAUUAAGGCCCAGGAUAAACAUUUCUGCAUUUCCCUUGACCAUUUCUUCAAUUUCUGAGAAUGGUAGUAACCACAAUAACAAAACCAUUGCCACAUGCCAGUUAUCCAUAUGAUAAGAAAGAAAAUUAUAUUCUUCUGAUAAAAAUUUCUCCUUACCAAGGAAGAAAAUUACUCCUUUCUUUCAUAUAAGAAUCCUUCUUUUUAUACCUUCUUGAUAGGAACUGGUCCAGUACCCAUCCCCAGACCAAGCAAUGGCAAGGAGGUAUUAGAACACCACAUUUGGCCUAGUUCCAAACAUGAUGACAGCAUUCUACAUAAGGACUUCUAAAAAUGUCCAGCUGGCCUUAGACAACUGUCUUGUAACUUUACCACUGCACAAUUUCUAUGUGAGAAAUUGCAUAGGAGGAAAAAAACUGAUCUAGAAGAAACAUGUGAGAUAACUGCUUACUAUAUUAAAUUUGAGAAGAUGGCCAUGGAUUAAGCAAGGUAAUAGCAUAGAAAGGAAUUUGAGUUUUUUCUUUAACUCAUUCUACAUCAUUCAUAACUGACAGUCCUGUAAUCUCUGCUUAAAUGCUUCCAGAGAUGAAAAUCUCUUAUUUUCCAUACCACUUAUUUGAUUUUUGACUGAACUAAUUGUUUUAAGGGGUUAUUAUUAUUAUUGUUAUUUCUUCAUAAGAGGUAAUAGAAUUUCAAUACAGAUCUCUUAACUCAUUUUGAUGUGAUGUAUUUCCUAAAAUUUAUAUUCUUGAUGCUUUCUUUUCUUUGACAUUGUCUAGUGAAUUAAUGCCUAUCUUAAAAAACAUGAUUCCUUGGAGUUCCGUUGUGGCUCAGCAGGUUAAGAACCCUACAUGGUGUCCGUGAGGAUGCAGACACAAUCCCUUGUCUGGCUCAGUGGGUUAAGGAUCCAGUGUUGCUGCAAGCUGUGGCACAUGUGCUGAUGCAGCUUGGAUCCAGCAUUGCUGAGACUGUGGCAUAGGCUGGCAGCUGUAGCUCGGAUUCGACUGCUAGCCUGGAAACUUCCAUAUGCUGAACGUAUGGCUAUUAAAUAAAUACAUACAUACAUACAUACAUACAUAAAUAAUAAAAUCAAAGUGAUUCCUGUAAUGCACACAAAUAAAAAGAUAUUACAUCUUUUUUUCUGAAAGUUUUAUAUACGAGCCCUCAAUUCUAAUAUAUAUUAGUUCUGCUUCUGUGAUCUCAAUAGAGGUUUUACAUUAUUAUCUUACAUUGAACUUGCAGCUAUCUAAGCAUUUAACCAUUUUUUACAUAAACUCCUUGUAAGCAGAUUUGAAGACUACUUUUUUUGUUGUUGGUUUUGUUUGUUUAUUUUUAGUAGAUAUCUGCACAGUUCAUGUAUAUUGAAAUUGUGAUCAACUAAACUCUACCUAUCUUUCAUAAUCCCCAUUCAUGCCAAUUUUCUCAUUAUUAGCAAUUGACAGUUUCUGGAAUUUAUAAGAUUCUCAAAAGUUUUUUAGAUACAAAAUCUAUCAUCAAGUAUGUUUAUAAUCUAGUUUGGAAUAAAACCUGAUAAGCAGCCAUGUUUUUAAACACUAUGGAAAUCAUUGAUUAGAUGUCGACCAGGUGGAGCCAGUGUCUUGUGCUAAAUUACUUGAGACCUCUUUUCCAAGUGAGAGAGAUUCAUUAAUCAAUAAAGAAAUGGGCACUGCUUUCCAAUAAGCUUCUAAUUCACAAUCUAUACUAUUAAUCACCUGAUAUUUCCCCAUUUUUCUAUAAUUAAAUGCAAUAUCAUAAGAUGUUCUAUAGUUUGGCUAGCUGAAAUGAAAAUACACGUUUUAGACCAUUCCUUAUAUGUACAAGAUUAGUAAAGUUACUAUAAAUAAAAAGAAAAUGAGAUUUGGCUGGGCUUGAUAAUAAUUUCUCUGUUAGAGAUCCAAUUUAUGAAUUUUUCCAGAGAUUAGUGUUAGAUAAACGUAGCAAUGUAUAGAAUUUUCACUUUAAUAUUAAGAGAUCAAGAGAGAAGGAAGAAAGAAAGAAUUCUAUCUUGGUUCUGCUAUAGUUCCAAGCAUUACCAUUCUCAGAAAUUAUUGGUAAUGGCUUCAAAAUAAUAUCUGUAGAUUAUU
rnacentral:lncRNA from 1 species